rnacentral:misc_RNA from 1 species
UGUGGGAGCGGGCUUGCUCGCGAUACAAACGACGCGGUGUGACUGACAAACCGCAGUGAUGCCAUCGCGAGUAAACCCGCUCCCACA